GCUCGCAUAGUGUUUUUUCCGGAAAAUUUUCGUGGUUUUCGUAAAAUAUUGAGUUUUGUGAAAUAAUAUAUAUGUAAAUCUUGCAUUAGCGAAAUAUUGACUUUCUUUUUAAAUAAGAUUUAGACAUUUUGUAUUUGCAAUACACGUGAGUCGUGUGCUAGCAGAGGUUUUACAAAUAUCGGCCUAGUGGAGAUUUGGAAGUUUCUGGCCAAACAACAAACAACCAACAAAAAAAAUGCCGAAAAGAUGUGUAUGCAGAUGUGCAGAAGUAAGCUCCCUCUACAAGUUUCCUUUGGCCUCGGAUGUAUCAAGGCUUAUUGACCAAGAAUGAUACGGGAAGUAAAUUAUCGAAAAUUUUCACAUCAAACCGGUUUCGUGGACUUAUAUUUAAUUAAUAAUUUUAACAUCGCGCCUUUAUUGUAUUUUAAAUAGCUUUAACCUUUUAAUAAGAUAGCUAAGAUGGUACGUGCUGUUAAUUCCUCUUUGUAUCUAAUUAAUUUUAAUUAGUAUGCGUGGAGUUAAAUUUAGUGUAAAAGCAGCAAAAUAUAUUAUUAUGUACUUCGGUUUUCAGCUGCUUACUAGUAAUAAGUCGUAGAUUUAAGUUUUUUUUUAAGUUACAGUGUUUAAUUAUAAAAUCGGUAUUUUCAUAUACAUGCAUGUAUGCAUGUACUUAGGUUUUCAGCUACCUUCUAGUAAUUAGGCUUAUGGCCUUAUUCAUAAAAAAAUAAAGUAGGUUUAAAGAGCUUUAUAAAUCGACGUUUU